UGCUGGUGUCUCUGGAGCUUCUCAACUCUGAAAAAGUUUGAGCACUUUCUUAAUUUGUCAUCAAUUUUAUGGUUAAGUAACAAGCAAAAACUGGUUAAAACCGUGCAGUAAUCUCAGACCUUAUACUCAGAUAGUCUUGCUAAUCUAGUUUGCAUCGGGGCAUUUCUCGCUUACAUAUUUACAGUUCAAACACAUUACAAACUAAAUUUUACAUCAUAUUUGUAUUGAAUAGUACGUUAGUAUGAGAUUUCAAACAGUGUAAAACAUCAGUAAGUAAAAGUAAAAUUACUCCAAAGUGCUCAAAAAUGUAAAGUAAUGUCAUUCAUCUCUUUCCAUGUUUCAUAUGGAUAGUUUUUACACAUAAAGUCCGGAUUCUUUGCUGUUUUAUUGUUUUUUAUUGUGUGUUUGAGACCAUUUUGUUUCUUGUUUUUGAAGAAUAAUUUGACUUUCUAUUUUCCUGUUUUAUUGAUCCUGUGUGGUUUUUAAUUGUUAUUGUUUGUGUGGAAGCUAAAGGGGGAAUCUAAUUUAACCUUGAAUUAGGAUUAUUUCUGUCCCAUCUUCGUCUGGAACAACGUGUUCCUCCUCCACAAGAUACAGGACCCUUUUUCUCCCCCUUCGACUAAGCUUAGUUACGAGAUAGCCAAUCAGCACGGAGCUCAUCGACAGCCGUGUUUAUUCGAUUUGGGAAUUCCUCAAAAGUGCUGCGGUCAAAACUUUUUCACACAUCAGCCGCAGUACAGGUGCGUCCUUGCUUGUCAGGCGAAACGCGUUGCAAAGGGACCAUCCUUCCUUCAAGAAUGAUUUACCAAACGCCUCCUCAGGUACCAUCGCCUCUGCAGGACUGAUCAAGUAGUCCUGCAGGAGGAAGCUCUAUCUCGCCGCUACAUCACCGGAGGCUUAACGGCGCUCCAGGAGAACACGGAGGACCUGAAAACUAACAUUACGAGUGGAUCAGGGAUAUGCAGCAGGUUGUCUUCCAUGGAGUCCACCAAACAUUGGCUCUGGAUGUUCCCCAGGUCUUCAAAUACAGACGCGAGCAGUGUUCAGUUAGUUGUACGUCUGUAACUUAAGCGUUAGAUGUCAUUUAGAAUCCUACGCACUGGUCCUUUAAGGUUAUUGUACUAGACCAGUGGUUCCCAAUCUUUGUCCUUAAGGGACCCCUUUUCUAUCAUUUGUUAAACUGACUAAGCAGUUUAUGGAUAUUUCAUAUUAUAUUAGCUGAUUAUUUCCUACAUAUAGAACUUUUUAUACUGUCUGUAAUAUGUAUUAUUAUUAUUUUUUUAAGACUUAAUCUGCUUCUUUUUUUUAUGUGUUUUGUGUUUUAUUGUCCCGACACUUGUUCUAUUAGACAAAUUACUUUACCUUUCUUCACAGAAAUAAAC
rnacentral:lncRNA from 15 species